CAGCCGCCGCGGUAAUACCGGCGGCCCGAGUGGCGGUCACUAUUAUUGGGCUUAAAGCGUCCGUAGCCGGGUUGGGAAGUCCUCCGGGAAAUCUGGCCGCUUAACGGUCAGAAUGCCGGAGGAUACUCCCAGCCUAGGGGGCGGGGGAGGCCGAGGGGAUUCCCGGGGUAGGGGGGAAAUCCUAUAAUCCCGGGAGGACCACCUGUGGCGAAGGCGCUCGGCUGGAACGCGUCCGACGGUGAGGGACGAAGGCCAGGGGAGCAAACCGGAUUAGAUACCCGGGUAGUCCUGGCUGUAAACGAUGCGGACUUUGUGUCGGACAAGCUAUGAGCUUGUCCGGUGCCGUAGGGAAACCGUUAAGUCCGCCGCCUGGGGAGUACGGCCGCAAGGCUGAAACUUAAAGGAAUUGGCGGG
rnacentral:rRNA from 1 species